GGAAUGCUCUGGGAAGUGCAACCGUAGAGGGUGAUAGUCCCGUACACGAAAGGGCACACAUAAUGAUGACGAGUAGGGCGAGGCACGUGAAACCUUGUCUGAAUAUGGGGGGACCAUCCUCCAAGGCUAAAUACUCCUGACUGACCGAUAGUGAACCAGUACCGUGAGGGAAAGGCGAAAAGAACCCCUGUGAGGGGAGUGAAAUAGAUCCUGAAACCGCAUGCAUACAAGCAGUGGGAGCACCUUCGUGGUGUGACUGCGUACCUUUUGUAUAAUGGGUCAGCGACUUAUAUUCAGUGGCGAGGUUAACCGAAUAGGGGAGCCGUAGAGAAAUCGAGUCUUAAUAGGGCGUCUAGUCGCUGGGUAUAGACCCGAAACCGGGUGAUCUAUCCAUGAGCAGGUUGAAGGUUGGGUAACACUAACUGGAGGACCGAACCCACCGUCGUUGAAAAGCCGGGGGAUGACUUGUGGAUAGGGGUGAAAGGCUAAUCAAACUCGGUGAUAGCUGGUUCUCCCCGAAAGCUAUUUAGGUAGCGCCUCGGACGAAUACCAUUGGGGGUAGAGCACUGUUUCGGCUAGGGGGUCAUCCCGACUUACCAAACCGAUGCAAACUCCGAAUACCAAUGAGUACUAUCCGGGAGACAGACUGCGGGUGCUAACGUCCGUAGUCAAGAGGAAAACAAUCCAGACCGCCAGCUAAGGCCCCAAAAUCAUAGUUAAGUGGGAAACGAUGUGGGAAGGCAUAGACAGCUAGGAGGUUGGCUUAGAAGCAGCCACCCUUUAAAGAAAGCGUAAUAGCUCACUAGUCGAGUCGGCCUGCGCGGAAGAUGUAACGGGGCUAAAACUAUGUGCCGAAGCUGCGGAUGCACAUUUAUGUGCGUGGUAGGGGAGCGUUCUGUAAGCCGAUGAAGGUGGAUUGAGAAGUCUGCUGGAGGUAUCAGAAGUGCGAAUGCUGACGUGAGUAACGACAAAACGGGUGAAAAACCCGUUCGCCGAAAGACCAAGGGUUCCAGUCCAACGUUAAUCGGGGCUGGGUGAGUCGACCCCUAAGGCGAGGCCGAAAGGCGUAGUCGAUGGGAAAUUGGUUAAUAUUCCAAUACUUCUGUGUAAUGCGAUGAGAGGACGGAGAAGGUUAGGUCAGCCUGGCGUUGGUUGUCCAGGUGGAAGACAGUAGGCAUGCAUCUUAGGCAAAUCCGGGGUGCUCUAUGCUGAGAGUCGAUAGCAAGCCAGUUUACUGGUGAAGUGGCCGAUACCAUACUUCCAAGAAAAGUCUCUAAGCUUCAGUUACACAGGAAUCGUACCCGAAACCGACACAGGUGGUCAGGUCGAGUAGACCAAGGCGCUUGAGAGAACUCUGCUGAAGGAACUAGGCAAAAUGGUACCGUAACUUCGGGAGAAGGUACGCUGCUGAUGGUGAUAGGACUUGCUCCUUGAGCUGUCGGCAGCCGCAGAAACCAGGCCGCUGCAACUGUUUAUUAAAAACAUAGCACUCUGCAAACACGAAAGUGGACGUAUAGGGUGUGAUGCCUGCCCGGUGCUGGAAGGUUAAUUGAUGGGGUUAGCGUAAGCGAAGCUCUUGAUCGAAGCCCCAGUAAACGGCGGCCGUAACUAUAACGGUCCUAAGGUAGCGAAAUUCCUUGUCGGGUAAGUUCCGACCUGCACGAAUGGCAUAAUGAUGGCGGCGCUGUCUCCAGCAGAGGCUCAGUGAAAUCGAAAUCGCUGUGAAGAUGCAGUGUACCCGCGGCUAGACGGAAAGACCCCGUGAACCUUUACUGCAGCUUGACACUGAACUUUGACCUUACUUGUGUAGGAUAGGUGGGAGGCUUUGAAGUAGGGACGCCAGUUCCUAUGGAGCCAUCCUUGAAAUACCACCCUGGUAAUGUUGAGGUUCUAACUCUGACCCAUAAUCUGGGUCGAGGACCGUGUCUGGUGGGUAGUUUGACUGGGGCGGUCUCCUCCUAAAGAGUAACGGAGGAGUACGAAGGUGCGCUCAGCGUGGUCGGAAAUCACGCGUAGAGUAUAAAGGCAAAAGCGCGCUUAACUGCGAGACCCACAAGUCGAGCAGGUACGAAAGUAGGUCUUAGUGAUCCGGUGGUUCUGUAUGGAAGGGCCAUCGCUCAACGGAUAAAAGGUACUCUGGGGAUAACAGGCUGAUACCGCCCAAGAGUUCAUAUCGACGGCGGUGUUUGGCACCUCGAUGUCGGCUCAUCUCAUCCUGGGGCUGAAGCAGGUCCCAAGGGUAUGG
rnacentral:rRNA from 1 species